UACAGAGGUCUCAAGCGUUGUUCGGAUUCAUUGGGCGUAAAGGGUGCGUAGGCGGCGCGGUAAGUCGGGUGUGAAAUCUUGGAGCUUAACUCCGAAACUGCAUUCGAUACUGCCGUGCUUGAGGACUGGAGAGGAGACUGGAAUUUACGGUGUAGCGGUGAAAUGCGUAGAUAUCGUAAGGAAGACCAGUGGCGAAGGCGGCAUGCUGGAUCUUUUCUGACGCUGAGGCGCGAAAGCUAGGGUAGCGAACGGGG
rnacentral:rRNA from 1 species